AUAUUGGACAAUGGGGGGAACCCUGAUCCAGCGAUGCCGCGUGUGCGAAGAAGGCCUGCGGGUUGUAAAGCACUUUGGUUGGGGAAGAAGAGCGAUUGUUGAAUAGGCGAUUGAAUUGACGUUACCCAAAGAACAAGCACCGGCUAACCCUGUGCCAGCAGCCGCGGUAAUACAGAGGGUGCGAGCGUUAAUCGGAAUUACUGGGCGUAAAGGGUGCGUAGGCGGUUUUUUAAGUUAGAUGUGAAAUCCCCGGGCUUAACCUGGGAAUUGCAUUUAAGACUGGAGAGCUAGAGUAGAGUAGAGGGAAGUGGAAUUUCCGGUGUAGCGGUGAAAUGCGUAGAUAUCGGAAAGAACAUCAGUGGCGAAGGCGGCUUCCUGGACUCAUACUGACGCUGAGGCACGAAAGCAUGGGGAGCAAAC
rnacentral:rRNA from 1 species